rnacentral:lncRNA from 1 species
CAUUGUUAUCUUCCCUCCAUCGUAUGAGAUACGAAGUGCUGUUCUUUCACUGUCUUAAGAUGUUCAGGAACAUUUUCACAUUUUGGAACAGUUGCUCCCACCUGUUCAGAAAGGAAUGUUGAAUAAUACUGUCAGCAGAUCAACUAUGUUAAUACUUGGGAUGUUCUGAAGACUUGAUACACAGUCCUUCCAGUGGCACAUAAGACAACUGACGACAGCAGCAGCACAGUUGGGCAUGAAGGUUUUAUGCCUAUGUCUGUUCAGAAAUGCCCUUUCAGUUAUGUACUCCCAUAAACUGAAUCAGCAUAUAAAUCUGCACGCUAUGCAAUAGAUGUAUAUGUAGCGGAGGCGCUGGGAUCCAACUCAGGAUAAUGGUGAGUCGAAUUCAGUCACGUCAGAUGUUGGACUUGGGAAAGCGCCUAUUAAGGACGGCAGUGCCAGCUGGGGAAGGUCUUGCAUCUGGCUAUGUGCUCCUGUCACCAAAGCCACUCCUAAGGCUGCACCAGGGCAGCAGUUUGCAGGGUGAUUGAAUGAACCACAUAUAGCACUGGGGAGAAAUGGAAAUCUUUUUUAAGGUCACCAGUAAUAUCACAGAGACAACACCCAGGCUGUGUGAAGACUCAUGAUUUCUGAUGAUGAUAAUAUCCCAAUGGUGGUCGGAAACAUCUAUUUGGUGUGGAUGAUGAUAACUUAUGUUCUAGUGAGUCUAGUCACUCUCAAUGCUUGUCAUUGCCCAUUUGGGGUGGAAUUCUGCUCUGUAUUGCACUAGAAAUCUUUAAAAUUCUGUCUGAAUAUUUCGGUCUGUUUUCUAUCUAUUUUCUUCACUAUUCACUUAAGAAAAAAAAGUCAUCAUUAGAAAGAACCUUUUUUUUUUUUUUGGCAUUUCUUGCUCGCAUGCAAUUUCUUUUUCGCAUGCAUUUCUUGUUUGCACACAAUAGAUGGAGAACUUCAUGGAUAACUGCUUGCUGAAUAUUUCUAACAAUUUACUGUCUCAACACUUGCACAGUAGUGAAAAAUAUUAACUGUGAAGCUUCUCACCCUGUCCUUUUCUCUAUUAUUCCUCAACCUGAUUAUUUGUGCUGUCCUCUCAGAAUAUUAAUGUUACUGCAAUGAAUAUGGUGAAAGUAAGUCACAGUUCAUGAAAUCUAUUCACAGGAUUUGUUCCCAUUUCCUCACAGGUUGUUCUGAAUUAUAAUGACAGUGAAUGACAUUCCAGAUUAAUGAUGUUGAGGGAGGUUUGGGCACUUUUGAAGACAAGGGAAGUUGUCCUUCUGACCUUUAAUCGUUAGGAGUUCACUCAAAGAAUUAAAAUGAAACAUAAAAUAGAUAUUAAGGCUUGGAUAAUGACUUAUGGGAUUACUUCUAUUGAAGUCUUAUGUGCCUAGAAAAUUCCUCGGCGCUAAUAGCUUGGGGGAACAAUGUGCUUGGCACCAGUGGUAUUUUUCACUGCACUGUCUUGCUUUGUGCUCUAGAAUCUGCUCUAGUAUGUCCUUUCAUUUACUAAGAGAAUACAUACCCCAUAGACGUGCUCUUCAUAGGUAUGCACAUCCAUAUUAGCAAGAUGCUUUAAUUUUUCAGCUUUCAGUAAGCCACUAAAAGUGUUUGUCUAUCAUGUGAGUUGAAUUGUAGGAAGUAGGAGUUGCUGAUGUGCUAUUUUAAAAAUGUUUAAAGUUUUACAAAGAUGAUGUAAGAGAUACUGUGGAGAUUAGAAGAAAUUCUUUCUGAAGUUACCUUGAGGCAGUAAUUGACGGUAAGCUUGCUUCAGUAGCUUUCUGUUUGUGUUAGAGUUCAAUAAGGUAUUGUGUCAUUUCUUCAGCAGGUGUUGCAAGCAACUAAAUAGUUUGUUUUAAUAUUUUGUGUGGUUAAGCAAAUACAUUUUGAACAACUAGAUUCCGAUUGGAAUAUCAAACAGACAUCCUAUUUCCAGUACUUCCAACUGUUAAAAAUAUGUAUAACCUGAAUUCUUAAGAUACCAAUUUUAUUAUACAUGAAGCUUCUUGAUUUAAGGUAAGCUUGGAAGAUUUGAUGUUGAGCUGUUAAUUUCAGAAAGGUGUGAUUUACUUCUGCUAAUAAUGAAUACAAAAUGGCAUUUGGUUAUUUGUUUAUUAAAGAUGCGCACGUCAUUGCUGUGGUACUUCAACUCAUCCCAAGUCAUAACUUAGCCUGCAGUGAUUAAAAUGAACCUUCAAGUGGCAUCAUGUUUUGGCCAUUGUCUAGUCACACAAGGCGAUCACUGAAUUGUGUGACAAGCCACAGCUUACAUGAUGACAUCAGGCAAAAUUGCACCACGGUGUCAUAAUGUCACAGACUGAUGAACCACAAUAUAGUCACUUUGCUGUGUUGACCCUACAUUUCAUGCUUGAAAUGUAGUCACUGUUAGCUUCAGGUUGUUUUUUUUUUAAAUGACAUGUCAAAAAGAGUGUUCAUGUAGUGUACUAUGCUAUAAAGCAAUGUCCAGAUCAGUCUACCAAGUGAAAACCACCUCUACACAAUGCCCUAAAAAAGAAGGAUUUAAGAGAGAGUCGCUUCCAAGAUUAAAGUAUGUUCAACUUAUCCUGAAAUAAACAAAAAUGAGAUGAUGACUUACCACUUGGGAAGAGAGGGACAAGAGAUAAUCAUUUCCUUGACAAUUACCUGAGACUGUGCAGAUGAAAUGUCUUAAUCCUACACUGUCAUGUUGAGGUAAUUUGGGAGGUAGAAAUAGUGCUCAGUAUGUUAAUAUAAAGUACAAGGAAACUGUACUGACAACAUUAGCGAAUAAAUCAAGCAGACAUAGAAUUCAAGUUUCUCAGUCUGCUCUUUAAUUAUUUACAGUUUACACUCUCAAAACUGGAAAACACAUUGACUUCUCCACUUAUCUUUUUGAACGAAUUGUCAUACCUGGCAUGGUAUAAAAUGUAUAGAAAAGAAUAGAGCAACCUGGAAAAGUCAGUUACGCUUGUGAGUAGGAUGUCAACAACAACUGUGUAUACUAAGGUGUGAAAACCGUCCUGAGUCUGGCUUCUUGAAAUGUUGAAAUCACCAGGCCAUCAUUAGAAUUUUCUGCUUUUUGUCCACUGGGACAGAGGACAAACAUGACAAGCAUUACCUGUGAAGCAUCAAGUCUUCUGAUUUUUCUAUCUGCGUACAGAAGUGAACUGCAUGAGGCUGCAGUGAUCUCUUAGUCAUUUUUUUUAGUUAGUUUUUUGUUUGUUUGUUUGUUUUGCAACAGAAAAAGGUGAACACACCGCAAGACUAGUUGCAUUGAUAAAUUGAUUUCAGUGUGAGGAGGAAAAAAAGUUAUUUAGACAGCUUUUUUUUUUUCUUUUUAAAUCAAUCCCCUUUGAAACUCUCAUGUUUACACUAACUAGAUCUCUUCUUCAGUCAGGAUUACUACUUCUGCCACGGGACUUGGUUUCCCAAUGGUAUGAAGAAAUGAAGAGAAUCAAUAGCAGCUGAAAUUUUGAUUGUAAGUGAAAGCUGAGGGAAUGUUUUAGAACGGGUGGUAAUGUAUUACAAACGUUUUGGUUGUGUUUAUUGAAAAAGUGGGAGAGAGGAUUCCAGGAAUGGAGAAAUUCUCCCAAUAUUUGUUUCAUCACCUUGAUUUGAGCUGUUCCUUAUCCACCCCACAGGUCAGUCCCUAAGAGGUCCUUCCCAGGUCUUUUCAUGAGGGGCUUCCUUGCAGAUGAUAAGUCUCAGUGCAGGGAAUUGCAGCUAAUUAAGUUAUUUGCCAAUUAAUAUAGCCUUAUUCAGCCCCUUUUAGACUGUCCAUGCCACAGCAUGGGAUGGCUGCAGUGCUCUCAGAGAUUCCGACAGCAUUCCCUUUCAUUGGCUUCCUUUGUCCCCUCUAGCUGCCACCAGCUUGUCUAACUCAGCAGUAGUGCUGCGGACAGCUUCACUCACUCCAGUCCUUCUGCCCAGACCUGACCUUCUGUGCUCAAUGCAGGACGAGCUUUAUUUUACAAUCUGCUCUUCCCUGUUCCAUUUCCCCCCAGUAGGGACCCCCUUCCUUCCUGUGGAUGGUAGAUGUCUGCAUGUAGGAGCAGCUGCAUAACCAAGGGGAGGCAUGUGGGCAUCAUCACCUCAUGUCUGUCAGUCCAGUGCUUGUGCCUUGUCACACCUCUCUCACCUGAGCCUGGAAGGGGGCUUUGCUUUUAUUUCAUGGAUUUUGGCACAUGGAAAGCGUGAAUCAGGUUAGUUCUGUGUUAACAGUCAUUUUUUAAAGUGGCUUUCUUGUAUUUAAUGAGCUGGAGCCACAAAGCAUAGCUGGAAUGGCAGGAAACAUUAAGAGAUAUCAAAAUAUCUCCCUUUCAUAUCUUGAUGUUGCAUUCAUUACAGAUUGUAUAAAUCGCUGACCUCAGGAACAAAACAAAUCUGACAUUCAGUCCAUUUUCUUAUAACAUUUGGCUCUUUCUGCCAUAGUGUCACAUCUGUAUUGAUUUUAGUAUUGACCGACUGAAAAGCUGAACGAUCUGAGUUGCAUCAUCAUAAUACGGGCAGUGUGUUGAUAAUAGGGCUAGAUAUGCUUUCAGAAAUAAAAUGUAUGCUGUGAAAAAGUAUAUUUUUGGACACUUACCUGUGCUUAUGUGCAUUAAUGACUUUGCAGUGGUCACAGAAAGUGAGAAAAAGCACAUAAUUAAAUGUCUGCCUCAGCAGGAAAAAGUCACAGGCCCAGCUGAAUAGAACCUAAUGCAUUAGCUGAGGCUCAGCUGGGCAUUUUGAAAGGAAAGGACUACAGGGAGAUGAGCAAUGGUAUGGGAAGGGAGAGGACAGCAACUGAAAUCCUCUCAGAAAGAAGGAAGAGGAGUGAGGAGUAGAUGACCCUCUGGUGUGGGCUGAAUUUUGUUUUACCUUUUCAUUCUGAAUUGCUGUAGUUUGUACCUUUCAUUAAGAUGUACAGCUCUUGCUGUUAUCUGGGUAGGAGGAAACCAAAGUGUUCAUGAUUUCUGAAAAUGUGAUUAGAGCCUUGUUUGUCAGGCUAUGGAGGGUAAAAGUUCAAAGGAGGGUAUAGUAACAGAGGAAGCCAGGUGAACAGAUGCAUUGGACUACUGGAAGGAUAGCAAAAGAUAAGAGUGCAGGGGAGGUUACUGAAACCUUUUGUAACAGCAAAUUGACUGCAGUUGAGAUGUAAAUGGUCAUGAUCAACGUUAACCAAAAGAGAAACAAUUCCUGUAACAGACACGAAAAGUGACUUUAGAAAUGGGCAAAUCAACACGGGAGAGCAGGAGAUCUCAAGUAGGAGGGAGUGAACUUUUUGGACACUUUGUCAGUUGAUGAUGAAAAUGCUCUUCGUUAGGCACGGCACUCAGCUAUACACUGAAGCCUGCACUGUAAGUAUUAAGAAUACUAGAUGUGUAAUGAAAUACUGUUCCUUUCAGAAUGUUAAGAGCAUUUUGGGGAUGUGACGACUUGUUAGGACGAGCUGAAUAGUUGUGCUGACAUUCCAACUUUGACUAGUAUCAGGGGCAGCAGCAGCAGAGACAAGGGUGUGCCCAGAAGGUGUAUGAGUAAUGAUCCCAAGCCCUAAAUGCCCCAUCUCGGGCAUAGAGGUGGAAACAUCCCCAUGAUAAAAACCACUAUAGCCUUAACUUAGCUUCAUUCCCUAACCCUGAAACAUGGAGCAGCUGGGGAGGGCAGGCAAUGGGGUGUGGGCAGUGAGCAUGCAUGCUUUUUGUAGACACUGGUGGACGAGGGAAUGCUCACUGCCUUUUCUCAAAAGGUUAUGAGGAGGAAGAAACCAUGAUAUAGGGGUUACCAGAGGUGACAGUGAACGAGUUGUUUAAACCUCAGUGCUAUUAACACAACACGCAAAGGGUAAAGAUGUUGUGUGUCUGCCUGACUCUGGCACAGAUGUAGAUGCCUUUUUCAGCCCCAGUAAUACAGACCUCACCUGUCCUCCCACACACACACAGGAGUUUUUGCCACCCUGAGCUCUGCCACAUGCUGACCUGCAGAUCUGCUCUGGUGGUUGUGUCAGCUGUGAGAGAAGCACCCUCAGUCCAUGACAGCUCUUGCUCAUGUUGCUCUAAUGUAGUAAUAACCAGCUAACUUUGUUUAACUUGCAUGCCCCAUAAAGAUCUCAGUCUGGGAUCUCAAAAACCUUUACAGCUGCUUGGUAGCUGUAUAGAAAUUAUUACUUGGAGGAAAUAUACUUAAUCGUAAAGCACAGAAGAGCAUACAAACUAAUGAAGUACACAUUGACUUCUGUACUAUAAUGGCACUCGGAUGGCAAUGCUGUGAUGCUCUCCCCAGGUCCCACUGGGCAGGGUACCCAUGUGGCUGCAGACAUGGGGAGGCACAGUGAGCACAGGGCAUUGCUUGGCUGCAGCUACACCUUAAGUACGCCUUGCUAAAAACAGUGCAGAUGAAGACUCUGAGGGUUCUUUGUCCUACUUACCUUUUUGGCAAGCAAAAGCUUAACUUUCUUGAAUGAUAUCAUAAGUCUGGGCUGAUUUACGAGGAGAUUUUUCAGAAGGCUGUGAAUUCUGGUGGUUUUAUUGCGGGACACAAACCAGGUCUCAGAGAUUACAAGUGGAAGAAUCUAACAAGACAUGUUUUUCUGUUAUUGACUUCGUCAAGAGAAUGCAUUUGUUUUAUGAUAUUUUCCAUUCCUUUUCCCAUCUUCGUCACAGGAAUGGAUUGAAUAUUUCAUCUUCAGUAGAUUGUCUCACAGUGUGUUUUUACAAUUUCCUUCAGCACUCCCAGUUCUAACUGGACGUUACCUCUCUUUCUCCACAGCUGGGUGAUGUUGUAAAUGGGGAAGCUGGAGCAUUCCUGAAAGGGUGAGUCCUUCAAAAUGUAGAAUACUGAAAAGGUCAAAGCAAUUGUAUACAGCCCUGUAUAGACUCGGCACAUUCAGCAGUUAUUAACAUUCUGACGCUUUCCUCUACAGCAAAACCUGAAAUGGGGAAUGAAAACAAUCUCUUCUAAUGGCAAAUAUAGCGAGUGGGAUGGAGAAAGGAAAUAAAUACUCAACCUGUUCCUGGAAUUGUUUUCAGAUUUUCAUCGUUUUGCGCUUAAUCUUAACUGACGAAGUGGUAUGUACUACUGGUGUCUAAGUGCUAUUCUCAGCUUACUAUCUGAAUUAUGCUUUCAGAGCGUGUGAUCAAAAAUCAAACUGCAAUUUGAGCUCUUUUUUCAAGUAUAUUACUGAACCAGGAAGAAAAAAGCCCCACAAAUACUUAUAUUCAUUAACACCCAGUAGUUU